UUUCCGACCUCUCCCGGGAAAUUGAAGAAGGCAAACCUGGAAAACGGGAAAUUUGAUCAAUACGUAGGCGCAUGGUGUUUAAAACAACACACAUAACCAACCGGUGCUAGUAAUGUUUAUUCGUGCUAAACGAUAUUUAUUAACAACCUAACACUUCCCAUAUGCAAUUAGCCUAACAAAUCAGGUAAAUUGAAUAUGGUUGUUGAGAGUCUAAUCCUAUUCGCUGUUGAACAUUGACCAGUUACCGACGAUUACUGGCAAACUUUAACUAUUGGACUUAACCAUGACCGACUUAAAUCUGGACCUCAACCAGUCAUUAGACCUACGAGUGGCUCAGUUCAAAAAUGACCCGGAAAAAAUGGCAGAAGUUUCCGACUUUUUAAAUGAAGUCUUCGACAAAGCGCAAAAGGAAGCCGAACUGAGACGGAAUGAGAAAUCGUCCAAAGGAAAACUAACGGAACCAAAAAAAUUGGAGCAUGGUCCAACCGUGCUAGAUCGUCUGCCCGAGUGUUUGCGACCAGGAUCUUUACCACCAUAUGUAAUUGUACCAAUACAAUGCGGAGUACUUUUGUUGCUCGCAACAAUCAUAAUUAGAAAAUAUAUAUGGAACAAAAGCAGUAGCACUUAGUUCUCAUGGUCUCAACAUUUACUUCGUGAUAUGUCUUAGUACUAUAAUCAAUUUAGUUAAACCCAGCUGUAAUUGGAAUUGGACCGAAUUGAUGAAAUCCAAAGGAAUAUGUGGAAAAAUAUGAAAGACCAGGGUGUUUUCACCGACCGUUUUUAAAAUAUUCAGUAUUGUCGCAAUGCAAUAAUUUUACCAAUUCUUGUGUGUUCAAUUGUACUUCGAUGUUGUGUUGUUGCACGAAAAAGUUCGGCAUACAGACGAUUGAUAAUAAACGUUGAAUACAAGUCUCAAUUAACAGUAUGACAUAUCCUAACCAGGUUGUUGCUAUGUAAUCCAAUGUAAUCUAAUGUUGUAUCUUGUUGUUACUGCCAAGUUUAUUUAAUGUUACCUUCCAUAAAUGUUAGCCAUUAAAACUGUUGUAAUAGAUAUAGUGAAUACCAAUAGUUGAAUCUACUAGUAUAAUUUGCUGUGAAUCCACCUUAGUUGAGAGCUAUAUUUAUUUAAGCAAAUCAAAGCCAGAAAGGUAUCUAAAAUCAAAUGUUAGAAAAUAGUUUUGUUGGCAGGCAAACAGUUUAGUUUAGUUAAUCCCAGACAAUCAAAAUUAGUAACUUAAUGUUACAUUGUACUUGAAGACUCAACUUUGAAAAAAAGACAAUCACAAAAUAAAAACAGAGAGUUUAGUUAGAACUGUUGAAGCAAUAUGGUAUUAAAUUAUGUAUAAAUUUGUCAGCUGUAGCCAAAUAUGUAUACUUGAUUUAAAAAGCUAAUUUGCUUGCUACGGAAACUGCAAAAUCCCAUAGAAUUGGAUUUGUUAUAAAUUAAAUUGUGAAGCGCGUGAGCAAAGAAUUACUAUUGAACUGGAGACUUUUUUGUGCCACUAAGUCUCCUCAACUUAAAGUGGCAUAAGAAAUGUCUUAUAUAAAAAUUACAAAUAACUAUUUACAUUUUACACUCUUUGUAUACAGUUUGUUGCAUAAUCCAUUGCGUAAAGGUGAAGCGUCUUUAUCCAGUCCCUUAAGCGAAAACUGUCCUAUAGAAGGGUGGUAAUUCCUUUUGGAAAACAUUGUGAAACUUUUUUAAUCUAACCGUUGAUGGUUUCAAACUGUUAAAUAAUCAACGUUUACAAAAUGUUCACUUACCAUUCAAUUGCCCAUUUUUGUAUCCAAAUUAGCCACUACACAAACACACACACACAAAGUCUUUAAAACACCGAAAAUCACUUUUAACAAAAUCAAUGUUCACUUGUGAUUGUUCAUUAACGCACGGGAGUUGACCGAAUCAGGCGUAUUUUUCGUUAAAACCGCACAACCAAUCGGGAGAAUACCAUAAAACGGCGAUGAUAAACUGUCAAUUUAAAAAAAUAUCUAAUUUUUCAUAAAAAAUCUGAUAAUUUUUUCAAAUUUAGACGGAGCAACCAGCGCGACCAGUAUCUUCUUGACUACUGGCUAUUUCAACGAAAUUACAUAAAAAUCAGGUACUUCUUGGAAGGAUGUUUGUUUAUAAGAAGAUUUCACCACAAAUAAUGCGUUUCUUUAAUUUUAGCAAUACAAGCAACAAACGGUAUAUACCGACAAAAUACAGAGCUAAAGAAAAUAUACAUUUUAUGAAAGAA
rnacentral:lncRNA from 1 species